rnacentral:tRNA from 1 species
AGCUCAGUCGGUAGAGCACUCGGCUGUUAACCGAUAGGUCGUAGGUUCGAGUCCUACAUC